GUCAAUUGGUUGUUAUAUCUCCACUAAUAAGCGGAGAGGGGUAAAACUCUCAAAGUGAGUUAUGUGGGUCAAGGUAUGAUGAUUAAUUGGAGUUCUAGUUCAUUUACUUUGAGAAAAUUAGAGUGUUUAAAGCAGCCUCUUGGGGCACUGAAUACAUUAGCAUGGGAUAAUAAAAUAGGAUCUUCACAAUAUAUUUUAUUGGUUUAAAUUGGAUAUGAAGAUAAUGAUUAAUAGGGACAGUUGGGGGUAGUUCAUAUUGGGUGGUUAGCGGUGAAAUGCUCGGAUCCAUUCAAGAUGAACUAAAAGCGAAGGCAUUUUACCAAGGAUGUUUUCAUUAAUCAAGAACGAAAAGUUAAGGGGAUCGAAGACGAUUAGAUACCGUCGUAGUCUUAACUAUAAACUAUGCCGACCAGGGAUAUGAGUUGUUAGGAUUAUACGAAAGUAUAAUCAAUUCUUCUUAUUGGACCUUGUG
rnacentral:rRNA from 1 species